AAAUACACACACACACACACACACACACACGUACGUAUAAAUACAUUAAGAACAAGAAAAUGAUAAACACAAGAUUAGGCACUGGGUAGGGGGAUAUGUAUAAGUAGUCAAUUCAGCCACUGCAGCCUUGAACUCCUGGGCUCAAGCAAUCCUCCUGCUUCAUCCUCCCAAGGACCACAGGCAUGUGCCCCUAUGCCUAGGUUUUUUGUUUGUUUGUUUGUUUGUUUUUUGUAGAGACAGGGUCUCUAUGUUGCCCAGCCUGGUCUCAAACUCCUGGCCGCCAGCAAUCCUCCUGCCUCGGUGUCCCGAAGUGCAGAGAUUACAGGCAUUAGCCACUGUGCCUGGCCAAGGAGGUUAAUUUUGUUCCCUCCUAAAUCCCCAGGGCCUAACAGUUCCUGGCACAUGAUAGGCACCAAACAUUUAUUUGUGUAAUGCAUGUAAUUUAGCUAGGAAGAAGAAAUAUAGGCUAAGAGCCAAUUGUGGAAGAAUUUUUAAUGCUCCAGUUCAACUCAACUCAGACAUAUGUCCUCUUAAUUUCUUCCCUAGCUCAGACUCCAGCUCAGUAUUUAACCAAACAAUAAAAUGGUCUCAUUUCUGGCCCAUUUCUGGCCCUCGUCCUCAUCAGUUACUCUUUUCUGCCCCUUCCACCUGUCUUACUUGCCCUCUUGCUACCUUAGCUUUUUAUCUCUAGAAGCCUUGGUUUUCCAGGUUCCCUUAAGGCCCUUGGCUACAUGCUUUGGCAGUUUCCACACUGUCAGAUGAUCACACACCUGCUAGGUAUUCUUGCCUUUGCUCCUACCGAUCCACCCUUCACCCUUUUGCACUCUGCUCUUUACCUGCAGAGGUGGACUUUGAAAGCAGCACCAUCUGGGUUCCUUGCUUGUAGGCUUCCUGCUGGCUCAGCCAGUGGGAGGUACUGAAGGAGACCUGAGAGAAAGAAGAGAAGUAUGGCUCUUCUUUCCUCCAAGCUCCUGUUGGCUGUCCUUCUCCUACAUAAGGACUGGUAACUGUUCCAUCUCUUUGCCCCUUCGGGCCAGUGGUUGAUAAUGGCUUCCCAGUAGAUGCUAGACCUGGGGUGCUUCACUGUCCCUUUUUGGUUUCCCUCAACCCUGCUUACAUUUCUGUACACUGUCCCUUUACUAACUCUCCUCGGAUACACAUUUUGAGCGGUUCAUCUGUUCCCUGCUGAUCUUAGUUGAUACAAAAGCAAAAAUAUACAAUAGUAUCUUUUUAAGAAAAUUGAUUCACAAAACUCACCCCUUUAAAGCAUACAAUUUAGUGGUUCUUAGCAUGUGCCAGCAAACUGUAUCUUUUUUCAUUUCAUAUGUAAUCAAAUGUUUCUUCGUGUCAAUAAGUUAUACGUUUCACAUCACCAGUUACUUAACCAUUCAUAAUGUUUCUAAAUUUUCACUAUCAUUCAAUAAGUACUAUGGUAAAUAUUGUUGUGUGUGUGGCUGUUUUCUUUUGGGGAGUAGUAUUUCUCUUUUUUUUUUAUUUUAUUUUUGAGGGGAGUCUCUCUCUGUCGCCCGGGCUGGAGUGCAGUGGCAUGAUCUC
rnacentral:lncRNA from 10 species